GGGCGAAGCUGCGUGCUGAGGAGCGGUCCGAGAAGGCGCCAUACAGGCAGCCUUUGGAACUGGAUGAGCCUUUGAGGUGCCACGAGCGAUGACGGCCGCAGCGUCCGACGCUGGAAUUCCUGCAGAGCAGAUGAUGAAGAGGAACCUGGCAACUGCAGGAAUAUCCUGGUUCACUGAUGUGUUU